GCAGGUACUGUCAGGUAAUGUCUAAAGUGGGAAAAGGGGGUUAAGGGUGUACCGAAGAACAAUGUAUGAAGCCAUUCAGGUAUUCACUUUGACAUUGAGACAAUAGACAUACUAUAUUCAUUUCACACCUAGGUGUCAGUUCAUAUUGAAUUUGUUUAUUAGUAACGACCCAAUUGAAUAGGUUUAUGGCUGGAUUGCAAGGACAAUUGACACGACACGAGAAAGAU
rnacentral:lncRNA from 1 species